rnacentral:lncRNA from 1 species
CACCUCGGCCCUGCUCUGAGAGUGAAUUUUCCUGUGCCAACGGCCGCUGCAUUGCUGGGCGCUGGAAGUGUGACGGCGAUCAUGACUGUGCCGACGGCUCCGAUGAGAAAGACUGCACCCCCCGCUGUGAUAUGGACCAGUUCCAGUGCAAGAGUGGUCACUGCAUCCCCCUGCGCUGGCGCUGUGAUGCGGAUGCUGACUGUAUGGACGGCAGUGAUGAGGAAGCCUGCGGCACUGGGGUGAGGACCUGCCCCUUGGAUGAAUUUCAAUGUAACAACACCCUGUGCAAGCCACUGGCCUGGAAGUGUGACGGAGAGGACGACUGUGGAGACAACUCAGAUGAGAACCCUGAGGAAUGCACCCGGUUCCAGUGCCCUCCUAACCGACCCUUCCGCUGCAAGAAUGACCGUGUCUGCCUGUGGAUUGGGCGCCAGUGUGACGGCACCGACAACUGUGGGGAUGGGACUGACGAGGAGGACUGUGAGCCCCCCACAGCCCAGAACCCCCACUGCAAAGACAAGAAGGAGUUCCUGUGCCGGAACCAGCGCUGUCUGUCAUCCUCGCUGCGCUGUAACAUGUUUGAUGACUGUGGCGAUGGCUCUGAUGAAGAAGACUGCAGCAUAGACCCCAAGCUGACCAGCUGUGCCACCAAUGCCAGCAUGUGUGGGGACGAAGCACGUUGUGUGCGCACCGAGAAGGCUGCCUACUGUGCCUGCCGCCCGGGCUUCCAUACUGUGCCGGGCCAGCCCGGAUGCCAGG